AGUAGAGUCAGCUAAAUAAGCUCUUGGGCCCAUGCCCCGAAUAUGUAGGUUAGACUCCUUCCUCUACUA
rnacentral:tRNA from 1 species